rnacentral:rRNA from 1 species
UACGUAGGGGGCGAGCGUUGUCCGGAAUUACUGGGCGUAAAGGGUGCGUAGGCGGUUAAUUAAGUUGGAUGUGAAAUACCCGGGCUUAACCUGGGGGGUGCAUUCAAAACUGGUUAACUAGAGUUCAGGAGAGGGAAGCGGAAUUCCUAGUGUAGCGGUGAAAUGCGUAGAUAUUAGGAGGAACACCAGUGGCGAAGGCGGCUUUCUGGACUGACACUGACGCUGAGGCACGAAAGCGUGGGGAGCAAAC